ACUAACUCCGUAAAGAAGUAAAUCCUUGCUAUGGCAGUGAGCUGGAUACAUUUACUGGAGGGAACCAGCAAGGAUGAGAGUGUGUGCUGGGGAAGAGCAGGGGUCGGGAAAGAAAGGGGCAGAUCUCAUUGGAAACAGUGAGUGCUGGAACAGCACUGUGACGUUACCGAAGCUUCUUGCGCCAGUACGAGAAGGACGUCUGAGAAAUAAUUCCUGCGUCUGUCCGUGUAAGUUGCUUUCCAGGUGGGAAGAAGAGAAGAGAGAGCAGGAGGAGAAUGCAAAUAGCCAUGAGGAGACAGCACUUGCAGGUUCUGCUGCCAUCUCCUCCAGUGAAGGUCCCUGGGGCCCCAGCGCUGGUUUACUGGCAGGACUCGCAGAGCAAAUGAAUGUGCCCGGGGCUCCCAGCCUGCGCUGUGUGCAGAUGGGGAAGUCUGGAGCUCGUGGGAGAAAAUCAAAACCUCUUGUUCUGAAAUGGCUUCGAUCUGCUGAGGGAGAGAUCUCUAUAUGGAUGAGCCACUGCUUUUCCUUACGUCAUCAAACCCAUGUCAAGUAUGCAUGCUUUGUCCCUUCCAUGGAAACUCGAAAAGUCAGAGAAAUAACAUAAAGACAGUUGAAAACUUCAUUAAGAAGCAACUGUUGGCACAGGUCACUGCUGCCAUAAUGCAUUUUUUCUGCCUAAGUGUUGCUCUUUUCAAGUUUGUGUCAGUGCACCACCUAUAUUUUGGAGCACAACAACACCUGCUGCAGUUCCUGCCCUUCAUGCUGCUGUGCCGUCUGAACACUGACUGCUGCCAAACUGUGGUAUAACCAAAGAUCUGAGGUAUUUGCAUGGGAAGGGACUUUCUGGAGUCCAAGCAAGGCUUGCAACCAGGAUGGUUUAAAACUGCAAAAGUACGUGGGAAAUCCAGAUUCUGUUGAAAAGACUUACGUGGGACUUCUAGAACAGGAAAGACUUAGGCCCUUUUCAUUAAUAGUAUGAGGAAAUCCCCAUGUUUCCCUUAGAACAUUUUACUGUAACUAAUUGCAGAUGACAGU
ensembl:lncRNA